UUUCAUUUCCAUUUUCAAUUCAGACGUCGAGACAGACUUCUGCAUAAAAGCGGCGCCUGAGCACCGAAGCACGAGUCGCUUCCACAGGUUUUGAAGGGUUGAAGGCACAGGGGCCAUUCGAUAAUGAUCCCUCCGCAGGUUCACCUACGGAGA
rnacentral:misc_RNA from 1 species